rnacentral:miRNA from 1 species
CAUUGUUUGGUUUAGUACAAA